rnacentral:lncRNA from 1 species
GCCGCUUAAAUACCUGGUUAUAUGGGAAAACCCAUUUGACGGAAACGGGUAGCUUUGACCAAUCGAUGGAGUCCUAAUAUUUUCCUUUUCGUUUGCAUUUUGUUUCCCAGUUUCACUACAUUCAGGGACGCAAAAUAACUGGAAAAUUAAUAUAAUGAUUUGGCUCCAAGCCAAUAAACAUUGCGUAAGAAGUAAACAGUUGAAGCGAUCGGUCAGAAAUAAAAUAGGACUGACAGUUUUAAAUUUGAUAUGGGCAACCAACAGAUCUGUCAACAUAACACUCACGUGAGCAACGGUUUUGAUGUUGAAGUAAAGGUCACCGUCACUCAUCCGGGCGGCCGGAUUGACCUUAUUCAUGUUGCUCCAGGAACAACGCGGACCGUACCUACAAAUUACGGAACUGUUACAAUAUCCAUUUUUGAUCCGGCUUGCCCUGGUAAUGAAUAUCCAUAUGAAAGCAUAAAUUUACCGUCUGACCACAGUGUUGUUAUCCGGAAAAACGAACGUGGAAAACCAAAACUGAGAAGAGUAAGGUAUGGAUCAAUCUGGCAGGACGUGGGAGACGCAGAAAAUUUGUAAACGAAUCUAUAUGAACAUUGCUAAGUAAAAUGACUGUUUGAUAUUUGUCCGUCUUUGAUAAGUUUUAGUAUUCUAUAAAUAAAAUCAUAAUGUCAUUGGACGGCAAA